rnacentral:rRNA from 1 species
UACGUAGGGUGCAAGCGUUGUCCGGAAUUAUUGGGCGUAAAGAGCUCGUAGGCGGUUUGUCGCGUCUGCUGUGAAAACUCGGGGCUUAACCCCGGGCCUGCAGUGGGUACGGGCAGACUAGAGUGCGGUAGGGGAGACUGGAAUUCCUGGUGUAGCGGUGAAAUGCGCAGAUAUCAGGAGGAACACCGGUGGCGAAGGCGGCUGCCUGGCCUAGAACUGACGCUGAGGUGCGAAAGCGUGGGGAGCGAACGGG